GCCUCCCUCCGCCGCCACUCAGACUCCGUACGGGACGGCGAGCAGUGGGAAGUAGUUAGGACAAGUGGCGCAAGCCUGAUCCAGCAAUGCCGCGUGUGUGAAGAGCUCGGUUGUAAGCACUUUAUCGGGAACGAAAUACCACGGUUAAUAACCUAUGGGCUGACGGUACCGAGGAAUAAGCACCGGCUAACUUCGUGCCAGCAGCCGCGGUAAUAC
rnacentral:rRNA from 1 species